rnacentral:rRNA from 1 species
AUGAACGCUGACAGAAUGCUUAACACAUGCAAGUCAACUUGAACUUCGGUUUGGGUGGCGGACGGGUGAGUAACGCGUAAAGAACUUGCCUCACAGCUAGGGACAACAUUUGGAAACGAAUGCUAAUACCUGAUAUUAUGAUUAUAUGGCAUCGUAUAAUUAUGAAAGCUAUAUGCGCUGUGAGAGAGCUUUGCGUCCCAUUAGCUAGUUGGAGAGGUAACAGCUCACCAAGGCGAUGAUGGGUAGCCGGCCUAAGAGGGUGAUCGGCCACAAGGGGACUGAGACACGGCCCUUACUCCUCCGGGAGGCAGCAGUGGGGAAUAUUGGACAAGGGACCGAGAGUCUGAUCCAGAAAUUCUGUGUGCACGAUGAAGUUUUUCGGAAUGUAAAGUGCUUUCAGUUGGGAAGAAAAAAAUGACGGUACCAACAGAAGAAGUGACGGCUAACUACGUG